UUUAAAUAAUAAUUACAUGAAAGAAAUGAAGACAAUUAUUUAUACCCAAAUCAGGAGGGUUAACUGACAAGAUUAAGAUACUGUUAGGUGCCAUCAUGAAAGCAUGAAGACUCUUGUGAGUUGGAUUAAAGUAUAGUGACCUCAUUGCUAUUUAACAUAUAAUUAAGGCAAAUAAGCCUUUAUUACACUACAUGUCCUUCUUUGGAAGGCAAAAGGGAACUUGUCUGCUGCAUCCAAACUAACGUUUUAGUGAAAGUUUAUUCACUAAAGUGUUUGCAGGACGAUGCGGUUUCAACUCCCUCACGUCACUCGUUAUUAUGUGCCGACUCUGGUGGGUUGCUCCAGCAAGGACUGAGUUGGCCCUGUAUAAUGUAUUUGCAAUAGGGUCAAUAAUGAUUUUCCUGCAUUAGAAGCUCACUGGGUUUGGACUUUCAAAAAAAGCAUAGAGAAGCCAAUGAAGUGAUCCACAACUCCCAUCUGAACAGAUCCCACUGACUUUAUACAAGAGUUUUAUCAGACAAACCUACACCGAAUCUCAUUGGGUUUUUUUUGGGGGGGAGGGGCAGGUACAGGAAGGGAUGGGAAUCUUGCUAUGGAACAAUCCAUCCCGCGGUCCAGUAGUUGGUGCAGCUCUCCGUUUCUGUAAUAUAGAUCUUUCUGAAACUCUUGUUGGUUAGGAUAGGACGUUGUUAAUACGGACAACAGCUUCUAUGGUCACAUUGAAGAGGCAGAGACUGAGAUCUCAGAGAAAAUGAACCAUAAUAGGCACAGAGCCUCCUGGGAGUCAGGGCUGAACCCCAGCUGAACCCGGUUUCAUGCAACUGCUCGAGGAUACCACCUUUUUAAAAUCGUUUUGCAAUAUAUUAUAUGCCGGUUAAACCCCUCCUAAACCCCCAUACCUCUCUUUCAGUCUUAAAACAUCAAGUAAACCGAUCUCUGUAUUUAACUUCUACUAUGUGUUUGCCUUCUAACUUUGGCAACUUUAAAGCCCAUAGUGUGUACAUGAAUGUCUGUUGUGUAAAUUUCCUCUUAAAAUGGCAAACAAUAUUUUUUUUUAUGAUUAAAAAAAUGCUUGAAAACCAA